rnacentral:rRNA from 1 species
CACUCCCCCCGGCGGUCAACUUCACGCGUUAGCUACGUUACUAAGUCAAUGAAGACCCAACAACUAGUUGACAUCGUUUAGGGCGUGGACUACCAGGGUAUCUAAUCCUGUUUGCUCCCCACGCUUUCGUGCAUGAGCGUCAGUAUUGGCCCAGGGGGCUGCCUUCGCCAUCGGUAUUCCUCCACAUCUCUACGCAUUUCACUGCUACACGUGGAAUUCUACCCCCCUCUGCCAUACUCUAGCCCGCCAGUCACAAAUGCAGUUCCCAGGUUAAGCCCGGGGAUUUCACAUCUGUCUUAGCGAACCGCCUGCGCACGCUUUACGCCCAGUAAUUCCGAUUAACGCUUGCACCCUACGUAUUACCGCGGCUGCUGGCACGUAGUUAGCCGGUGCUUAUUCUUCCGGUACCGUCAUCCGCCACGGGUAUUAACCACGACGUUUUCUUUCCGGACAAAAGUGCUUUACAACCCGAAGGCCUUCUUCACACACGCGGCAUUGCUGGAUCAGGCUUUCGCCCAUUGUCCAAAAUUCCCCACUGCUGCCUCCCGUAGGAGUCUGGGCCGUGUCUCAGUCCCAGUGUGGCUGGUCGUCCUCUCAGACCAGCUACAGAUCGUCGCCUUGGUAGGCCUUUACCCCACCAACUAGCUAAUCUGCCAUCGGCCGCCCCUGUAGCGGGAGGUCCUAAGAUCCCCCCCUUUCCUCCGUAGAGCGUAUGCGGUAUUAAUCCGGCUUUCGCCGGGCUAUCCCCCACUACAGGACACGUUCCGAUGUAUUACUCACCCGUUCGCCACUCGCCACCAGGGUUGCCCCCGUGCUGCCGUUCGACUUGCAUGUGUAAGGCAUGCCGCCAGCGUUCAUCGGG